ACGCUCGACACCUACGGGAGCAGCAGUGGGGAAUAUUGGGCAAUGGAGGCAACUCUGACCCAGCAACGCCGCGUGAAUGAUGAAGGUCUUCGGAUUGUAAAGUUCUGUGACGGGGGACGAACACAAUGACGGUACCCCGACAGCAAGCCACGGCUAACUACGUGCCAGCAGCCGCGGUAAUCUGAGCGGGCUGGCAAGGC
rnacentral:rRNA from 1 species